AUAGUGAGAGGGUGGGGAGGGGUAUUAUUCAGAAGGGUGGUGGGAAUGGGUGAUUGGCUGAUAGGUGUAGUAAGCCAUCACCCAUUCCCACCACCCUUCUGAAUAAUACCCCUCCCCACCCUCUCAC
rnacentral:miRNA from 1 species